CAUAAGUUAAUACGAUACUCUAAAUCUUCCGUAUUAUUCUUUUCUGAUUACAUUUAUAGUAACGUUCACUGAUGCGUUUUGGCUCGAAGUGCCUUUGCUAGAACGGAUAAAAUAUUAUUUCUGGAAGAUACGCUUAAUAUUCUGAGACACAAAUUGAUUAUUUUUGCAACGCGCCGAUAUGAUAAAAAAAUAUUUCUGAAAGAUACAAUUAACGGUCUUCAAAAUGAACUGCUUAUUUUUGCAACACGCGCCAAUUUAUCUUCUGUCAGAAACACGCGGUCUGAUUUAUUUGAAUAACAAAAAAUCUUCGGGCAGUUUUGGUCGUGUAAAUUUUAUAAUCUGUACGGAUCCAAUUUAAAGCCGAGGAUCACAACAGCGCAAGCGUAAAGGUUUGGAGGAAGAAUCCUGAUACCGAAAGUAGCGGUAAACAACACCACCGUAGCAGCACUGCGAAUCUGCGAAUCCGCAUGAUGUUACCAACGACCGAGCGGCCAUUUCCUCAAGAUGGUCAAAACCAAAACCGAUCAUCACAAGCAACACCCGCAUGCAUACGGUGCUACACUGCCGUUCUAAGCAAGAUUGUCCCAUGUGGGAAAACGUGCAAACGAGAAAAACGCGAUUGAAAUAUCAACUAUAUUUCCAAUUUUUCUUCAAAACUAAAAAUUCACCGAUAGUUUUUUCGUAGUGAACAGUUCAAGUUAAUCAUUUUACAAUGUUUUCUCUCAACAAUAAUUACAUUUCGUACAAAUAAACAGCAAACUAAAGCCAAAAAUGCACCGUGUGACACUUUUGCGUAGAAUCAGAACGCAUGCCGAUGCUAGUUCUACGAAUAACGGUCACACGGCUACAACUUUUCUAUCAUUUUAAAAGCACGUAUAGUUUCUUUUUUUUCUCAAAAACUCAUGUUAAACCGUAAUUUGAGAAAAACGUUCCUCUUUGUUUAUAAAAAUGUAUAGUUGAGUAUGGAUCCUGUAAGUAGUGCCUACCGAAGAGAGUUUAGUUCUUGCGUAGAACUAUCAACAUAGAGACAACCACCUUGAUGAAAAUUUCGUAUAUGUUCAGAACAAAGUAUACUUGUUUGUGUUUUUAUUCGAAAGUUAACACUAAAAGAGACCGUUUCCAGCAAAAAAGUGAAAAUGACCCAAAAGUCACAUGGGACAUUCUUGCUUGGAACGGCAGUACACACAACAUCCAAAAAAUGUUAUUCUGAGCAUCAGGAUAUAAUAAGUAUGUUACUCAAUUACUACGAAUGAAAUAAAUACUUUAAAAUUA